rnacentral:rRNA from 1 species
UACGGGGGGGGCAAGCGUGUUCGGAAUUACUGGGCGUAAAGGGCUGUAGGCGGCCAACUAAGUCGGAUGUGAAAUCCCCAGCGUCAACCUGGGAACUGCAUCCGAUACUGGAUGGCUUGAAUUCGGGAGAGGGAUGCAGAAUUCCAGGUGUAGCGGUGAAAUGCGUAGAUAUCUGGAGGAAUACCGGUGGCGAAGGCGGCAUCU